rnacentral:rRNA from 1 species
CUUACCAUGCAGUCGAGCGGAAGGCUCCUUCGGGGGUACUCGAGCGGCGAACGGGUGAGUAACACGUGAGUAAUCUGCCUCAGGCUUUGGGAUAGCCACCGGAAACGGUGAUUAAUACCGGAUAUGACCGUGCUCCGCAUGGGGUGUGGUGGAAAGUUUUUCGGCCUGGGAUGUGCUCGCGGCCUAUCAGCUUGAUGGUGGGGUAAUGGCCUACCAUGGCUUCGACGGGUAGCCGGCCUGAGAGGGUGACCGGUCACACUGGGACUGAGACACGGCCCAGACUCCUACGGGAGGCAGCAGUGGGGAAUAUUGGACAAUGGGCGGAAGCCUGAUCCAGCAACGCCGCGUGAGGGAUGACGGCCUUCGGGUUGUAAACCUCUUUCAGCACCGACGAAGCGGAAGUGACGGUAGGUGCAGAAGAAGGACCGGCCAACUACGUGCCAGCAGCCGCGGUAAUACGUAGGGUCCGAGCGUUGUCCGGAAUUAUUGGGCGUAAAGGGCUCGUAGGCGGUUUGUCGCGUCGGGAGUGAAAACACCGGGCUUAACUCGGUGCUUGCUUUCGAUACGGGCAGACUGGAGGUAUGCAGGGGAGAACGGAAUUCCUGGUGUAGCGGUGAAAUGCGCAGAUAUCAGGAGGAACACCGGUGGCGAAGGCGGUUCUCUGGGCAUGUCCUGACGCUGAGGAGCGAAAGUGUGGGGAGCGAACAGGAUUAGAUACCCUGGUAGUCCACACCGUAAACGUUGGGCGCUAGGUGUGGGGUCCACUCCAUGGGUUCCGUGCCGUAGCUAACGCAUUAAGC